UUAUUUCUCAUCCCUCUAAGGCUGUUUAUAGGAAACAUUAUUGAGUUUAAUAGCAUUUUAAAUGCCAAGCUCAGUGGGUAAAAGGUUAAAAGUGACAACGUGCUAAUACACUAAUGUAAAAGGAGAACACUGAAUUAUGUAGGAAGGGUCACAUCACACACACACAUAUACACAGAGAGAAAGAGAGAGUGAGAAAGAGAGAAAGUUUCAUUAAAUUUUUAACUAAAACAGGGCAUCAAACACAAAGGCAAAGGCCUUGAGCAUGCUUGUGUAGCCAUAACAAACCAAAACUGUUUCACAUGCCAUGCUGUAUUAGGGGCACAUGAACCUGAGCUCUUGGCUGCAACUAGACCAAGGAUGCUGGUGAAAUAGCUGCUUCCAGCUAAGCAUAGUGGAUGUGGAUUCCAGUCCCAAGUCUGCUGUGGGCCAGCUGGGUGACCUUGGGCAGGACAUUUCACCUCUCUAGACCCCAGUUUACUCAUCUAUUAAUAACGACAACAACAGUUAAUGUUAUCGAGUGCUUAUUUGGUGCCAUGCAUGAGUCCAAGGGCUUCACAUAAAUCUAUCUCAUGUCAUCCCCACAAUGACCCUACAAGAUAGGUACUAAUCAUGUCCCCAUUUCACAGAUAAGCACGGGAAGGAUAAAGCCAAAGGAGCAGCUCAGAACGAAUGUCCUUAAAGGUCCUUCUCACCCUCAGCUCGAAAAGCAGUGCAUCCUCCUCCUGUGGGAAAUGCAUCCUAACACACUCGGCACUGGCGUUUGAGUCCAUCUUGCUCGAGUCUACAAAGACCGGCCAAUGACCACCUACGUGAGGGAACCCGAUAAGCAGAACUUCAUGAUGAUGAUUUGAUUCCAGCGUCUUAAACCAAGGCCAAGAACAUUAAUGAAAAACAUCCAGCACUCAAAUGUCUCUGUUUGUCAGCAAAUAAUAUUCACAAGGGGAUAUUCAGAAUCAUCUUCAAAGUGGAGAAGGAAAAUAACAACAUAAAAGGCAAGAGUUCCCAGGAAAAUGUGCUACAGAUGAACAGGAGAUACAAAUAUAACACCAAAGGCAGGGCCUCAGGUAAACACUCCCCACACUUUGCCACAAACCAGUCUCCGCAUACCCCUAAGCCAAAUAAACAAAGCCUGGGCAAAUGUCAAUAUUUAAAUACCAUAUCCCAAGGUUUCUCUCUCACAUACACAGUUAUAUACGUAUAAAAUCUCAUUAGACUAACUUGAAAGUGGGUUUUAACUAAAAUAUAAAAAGACUUGGGGAUUUUUUCUCAGUCCUGCUAGGCUAGUCUCCAUUCCAAGCUCUAGCAUCCCAGGAAUCUGAUGGUGACUUCAUGCAGGGCAAAGGUGGCCCAGGAAGAAAACCAAAAAUUAGACGGAGAGGCUGGACCCCCAUCUGAACUCACAGCUGGGUCUCAGAGGUUGACAGGAGGCAUCAGACACCCUCGGCCAUGGCUCAAUGUGCAAAACCCCACUUGGGGCUGAAUGCAGGCCUUGGAGCAAGGUCCAGGAGGCCAGGUGUCCCCCACCCGAGGCCCAUUAAGUAAGUCUCUUUCAGGGGGCUACAAGAAGGGACAGGAACUGCCUGGGACACGAAUGACCUUAAGCUUUUGCCAAGAAGCACAGAUAAUCUCUCUGUAAGAAAAUCACAGGGUAAGAGCAUAAGAAGGGGCGGACACACACAAAGAGAAGGAAAGAGGAAAGCAGCUCUCCUGCCAAGGCCUUGCAGGAGUAGGGGAGGAAUUGGGAGCAUGGUUCUCUUCCUUCAUUCUCCUAGUCACUGCUAUGAACCCCACCCCCACCUAUUGCACACAUACCCAAGGCCACACAAGGAACCAAGGCCAUGGCCUUGCCAAGGGCAGCUGGAAGAACCAACCCCAAGUGCUGUUUCUGCCAUCUCCCUCUGACCAAGCUCCGGAAAAGACAACAGAUCCAUCUUAAAAUUCCACAGGCCCUGUUCCAUAGUCCUCCAUGGCUCCCUAUUGCUCAGGAGAGAAUCAGGACCUAUGCUGACAUUCCAACUCCAAGGUGGCCCUACCUUGCUUUUCAUGUUUUGCCCCCACUCCCACACUCAGGAAUUUUGCUCCAACCCCACACCCAGCACCACCAUCCCAGGUAGGAAUGGUACCACCGCUCAAAUGUGCAGCCCAGACAGAUAAAUCAGUAUGCAAAAAAGUCAUUUACAACACAACAGAAUCAUCAUUCUCACAGGGCAAGUACAGGCGGUUCAGGAUGGAGAGGCUCCUGACUGUGAGAACUGAGGCUGCCCCACCCCAGGGAAAACUUCACCAGCAACGUUCUACCUGAUCUGCACUCUGAAGGGCUGAAGAGGCAAACAGGAGGCAGGAAGGGUGCUACAGGCUGAGGGAACUGCAUGCACUAAAGCAGAGAGAAGGGAGAAAUGUGACUCCCUGGGAAAAUGAGGGGCCUGUGUAUGGAUGGUAGUGAGGCUGGAAGGUUGGCAGAAGGCAGGUCCUAUGAAGGACCCUUUACAGCAGCAGAUAUAAAAAUAGAACUUCAUCCUACACAUGAGAGGUAGCCACUGAUGGUUUUCAAGCAGGGGACAACCCAAGGUGAUUUCCAUUGCACAAAUCUCAUUCUUCUCACAGUGUAGAGAAAGGGCUGGAGACGGGAGGUGAGCUAGGCAGCACAGAGACUUAGGUUACUGCAAGAAGAGAUCAUCCAGGCCUGGACUUAGGUAGUGGCAACAGACCUGGGGUGGUGCUAGGCAAUUUUCAAAAGACUUGAUGGCACAAUUAAUUAAGGUGAGGGAAUGGCCAAAAGUGGUGCUCAGGUCUUGUUCAGGAAACAGACACACAAAUGUCCAAUUUAAAUAAAAUGUGCUAGGGGUGAUGACAGAUAUUCACAGGGUGUUGUGGAUGGCUGGGGGUGUGAGAGGGGAGAAGGGCGCUGAGAAGGCACAGUCAGAGGGGCCAGAGGAAACCCAGAAGGAGCCCAGCAGCCCAGGCAGGAGACCAUUGUAAGGAGUCAGCUGCACACCUGCAGAUGCCCCAGGGAGGACCAGUCAACUCAGGACUGAAAUGUGAGCAGCCCGUGACCAGGUUUUUGUUUUGUUUUCUGAUGGGUCCCAAGUGCCUACAACAGCGCUUGGCACAUAGUGGGGAUUAAUAAAUAUUUAUGUAAUGAA
rnacentral:lncRNA from 1 species